rnacentral:rRNA from 1 species
CCUACGGGAGGCAGCAGUGAGGAAUAUUGGUCAAUGGGCGAGAGCCUGAACCAGCCAAGUCGCGUGAGGGAUUACUGCCCUAUGGGUUGUAAACCUCUUUUGUCGGGGAGCAAAAGCCGGACGUGUCCGGCUGUGAGAGUACCCGAAGAAAAAGCAUCGGCUAACUCCGUGCCAGCAGCCGCGGUAAUACGGGGGAUGCGAGCGUUAUCCGGAUUUAUUGGGUUUAAAGGGUGCGCAGGCGGACUUUUAAGUCAGCGGUAAAAUCGUGGGGCGCAACCCCAUCCAGCCGUUGAAACUGGGGAUCUAGAGUGUGCGAGAGGUAUGCGGAAUGCGUGGUGUAGCGGUGAAAUGCAUAGAUAUCACGCAGAACCCCGAUUGCGAAGGCAGCAUACCGGUGCACAACUGACGCUCAGGCACGAAAGCGUGGGUAUCGAACAGGAUUAGAUACCCGAGUAGUC